CUGGUGCAGGAUUCACUAGGACAUUUUCUCAGCACGAGCAGGGGAGGGAGUGGGACAUGGCAAGGGAGGCGCUGGCAGCAGGCGGUCCAGGGACUGCCCGUGGGCAGGGCAGCCAGUCACCAGCUGCGGAGCCGGCCAGCAAGGCUGCUUGCUCCUGUUGUCCCCAGGGCAAUUCUCCAGCCAAGAGGCAGCUGGGAGCUGUGGCCACCGUGCUGGCCCGCGGCAGGUCUGUGUGUGUGUGACGUUUGUGGGCAGGUUCACAGGGCGCUCAUUCCUCCUGGAAGGGGCCUGGCUCCUCCCUGGUCAGGCUGGGGCUGAGGACAGCCCCUCCCUCACCAGGCCUUUCGCAAGGACCUGACGGUGGCCCAGCACACGCAGCUGGUCCUGACGCUGCUGCACGGCCUCCACAGUCACAGCCACCUGCGCUGCGACCUGGCCUCCAGGCUCCUCCUCAUGAUCUUCCAGGACGCUGGCAUCAAGCCUGAGCAGGUGGCCGAGAUCCUGCACAGCCUGCUCCAGGAGCUGCCAGGCAUCCGCUUCAAGAACGUCUACAAGACCAUGAUGAAGGCCAUCGCAGCUCUGGGAAACCAGCACACCCAGGAGGUGGUGGAGGUGACCCUGUCCCUGAGCCACCCCUUCGAGAGGAAGAUCCUGUUCCUGUGGAGGACCCUGGCGACCAACCAGCAGCUGGCCCGCAAGGUCAUGACGAUCCUCUACAUGAAGCUGAAGCUGCGGCCCUCCAGGGAGUUCAUCCAACCCACCCGCCAGGCCCAGCUGGUCUGCCUGAAGGCCCUCAACACCAUUUACGAGCUGCUGUACACCCAGGAGUACAGGGGCACGGUCCGCUGGGCCUUCGCAGGGGUGCUCAUGGGCCUGCUCACGCAGCUGCACUACCUGCUGGAGAUGGGCAUGGUGGAGGGCAUGUCAGACUACCAGGAGGACAUCCUGGACGACAAGCCCCUCGGGCCCUGCAGGACCUGCCUGGAAGCGCUGAAGGGCCUCUUCUGGACCACGAACUACUGGGAGGUGUUUGCCCACGUCAAGCUGCUCAACGGCUGGGAGUGCCUGGAGUGCCUGGAGACCUACCCCCAGGGAGUGACCCUCUUGGCCAGAGCUAUGUCCCACUAUGACUGUGAGGUCAAGGCCAUCCUGGGGCAAGCCAUCAUCUUUCUGAAGAACAGUGAGGAGCGAGACAACCUUGUGGCUAUCCUCAUCAUCUCAGAGGUCAGUUUCUCCCAGCCACCCUGA
rnacentral:lncRNA from 1 species